rnacentral:rRNA from 1 species
AUUGAACGCUGGCGGCAUGCCUUACACAUGCAAGUCGAACGGCAGCACGGGUGCUUGCACCUGGUGGCGAGUGGCGAACGGGUGAGUAGUACAUCGGAACGUACCUUAUCGUGGGGGAUAACGCAGCGAAAGUUGCGCUAAUACCGCAUACGCCCUGAGGGGGAAAGCGGGGGACCGUAAGGCCUCGCGCGAUUAGAGCGGCCGAUGUCUGAUUAGCUUGUUGGUGAGGUAAAAGCUCACCAAGGCGAUGAUCAGUAGCUGGUCUGAGAGGACGGUCAGACACAAUGGGACUGAGACACGGCCCAGAAUCCUGCGGGAGGCAGCAGUGGGGAAUUUUGGACAAUGGGGGCAACCCUGAUCCAGCAAUGCCGCGUGAGUGAAGAAGGCCUUCGGGUUGUAAAGCUCUUUUGUCAGGGAAGAAACAGCAGCUCUAACACAGUCUGCGAAUGACGGUACCUGAAGAAUAAGCACCGGCUAACUACGUGCCAGCCGCCGCAGUAA